UACGGAGGGGGCGAGCGUUGUCCGAAGUUACUGGGCGUAAAGGGCGCGUAGGCGGCCACGCACGUCCGUUGUGAAAUCGCCCGGCUCAACUGGGCGGGGUCGGCGGAUACGGCGUGGCUGGAGCAAGCUAGGGGGCAAUGGAAUUCCCGGUGUAGUGGUGGAAUGCGUAGAUAUCGGGAGGAACACCAGUGGCGAAGGCGGUUGCCUGGAGCUUUGCUGACGCUGAGGCGCGAAAGCGUGGGGAGCGAUCCGG
rnacentral:rRNA from 1 species